rnacentral:rRNA from 1 species
UUAAGCGACUAAGCGUACACGGUGGAUGCCCUGGCAGUCAGAGGCGAUGAAGGACGUGCUAAUCUGCGAUAAGCGUCGGUGAGGUGAUAUGAACCGUUAUAACCGGCGAUUUCCGAAUGGGGAAACCCAGUGUGUUUCGACACACUAUCAUUAACUGAAUCCAUAGGUUAAUGAGGCGAACCGGGGGAACUGAAACAUCUAAGUACCCCGAGGAAAAGAAAUCAACCGAGAUUCCCCCAGUAGCGGCGAGCGAACGGGGAGGAGCCCAGAGCCUGAAUCAGUGUGUGUGUUAGUGGAAGCGUCUGGAAAGGCGCGCGAUACAGGGUGACAGCCCCGUACACAAAAAUGCACAUAUUGUGAGCUCGAUGAGUAGGGCGGGACACGUGGUAUCCUGUCUGAAUAUGGGGGGACCAUCCUCCAAGGCUAAAUACUCCUGACUGACCGAUAGUGAACCAGUACCGUGAGGGAAAGGCGAAAAGAACCCCGGCGAGGGGAGUGAAAAAGAACCUGAAACCGUGUACGUACAAGCAGUGGGAGCCUCUUAAUGGGGUGACUGCGUACCUUUUGUAUAAUGGGUCAGCGACUUAUAUUCUGUAGCAAGGUUAACCGAAUAGGGGAGCCGAAGGGAAACCGAGUCUUAACUGGGCGUUAAGUUGCAGGGUAUAGACCCGAAACCCGGUGAUCUAGCCAUGGGCAGGUUGAAGGUUGGGUAACACUAACUGGAGGACCGAACCGACUAAUGUUGAAAAAUUAGCGGAUGACUUGUGGCUGGGGGUGAAAGGCCAAUCAAACCGGGAGAUAGCUGGUUCUCCCCGAAAGCUAUUUAGGUAGCGCCUCGUGAAUUCAUCUCCGGGGGUAGAGCACUGUUUCGGCAAGGGGGUCAUCCCGACUUACCAACCCGAUGCAAACUGCGAAUACCGGAGAAUGUUAUCACGGGAGACACACGGCGGGUGCUAACGUCCGUCGUGAAGAGGGAAACAACCCAGACCGCCAGCUAAGGUCCCAAAGUCAUGGUUAAGUGGGAAACGAUGUGGGAAGGCCCAGACAGCCAGGAUGUUGGCUUAGAAGCAGCCAUCAUUUAAAGAAAGCGUAAUAGCUCACUGGUCGAGUCGGCCUGCGCGGAAGAUGUAACGGGGCUAAACCAUGCACCGAAGCUGCGGCAGCGACACUAUGUGUUGUUGGGUAGGGGAGCGUUCUGUAAGCCUGUGAAGGUGGCCUGUGAGGGUUGCUGGAGGUAUCAGAAGUGCGAAUGCUGACAUAAGUAACGAUAAAGCGGGUGAAAAGCCCGCUCGCCGGAAGACCAAGGGUUCCUGUCCAACGUUAAUCGGGGCAGGGUGAGUCGACCCCUAAGGCGAGGCCGAAAGGCGUAGUCGAUGGGAAACAGGUUAAUAUUCCUGUACUUGGUGUUACUGCGAAGGGGGACGGAGAAGGCUAUGUUGGCCGGGCGACGGUUGUCCCGGUUUAAGCGUGUAGGCUGGUUUUCCAGGCAAAUCCGGAAAACCAAGGCUGAGGCGUGAUGACGAGGCACUACGGUGCUGAAGCGACAAAUGCCCUGCUUCCAGGAAAAGCCUCUAAGCAUCAGGUAACAUCAAAUCGUACCCCAAACCGACACAGGUGGUCAGGUAGAGAAUACCAAGGCGCUUGAGAGAACUCGGGUGAAGGAACUAGGCAAAAUGGUGCCGUAACUUCGGGAGAAGGCACGCUGAUAUGUAGGUGAAGCGACUUGCUCGUGGAGCUGAAAUCAGUCGAAGAUACCAGCUGGCUGCAACUGUUUAUUAAAAACACAGCACUGUGCAAACACGAAAGUGGACGUAUACGGUGUGACGCCUGCCCGGUGCCGGAAGGUUAAUUGAUGGGUUAGCGGUAACGCGAAGCUCUUGAUCGAAGCCCCGGUAAACGGCGGCCGUAACUAUAACGGUCCUAAGGUAGCGAAAUUCCUUGUCGGGUAAGUUCCGACCUGCACGAAUGGCGUAAUGAUGGCCAGGCUGUCUCCACCCGAGACUCAGUGAAAUUGAACUCGCUGUGAAGAUGCAGUGUACCCGCGGCAAGACGGAAAGACCCCGUGAACCUUUACUAUAGCUUGACACUGAACAUUGAGCCUUGAUGUGUAGGAUAGGUGGGAGGCUUUGAAGUGUGGACGCCAGUCUGCAUGGAGCCGACCUUGAAAUACCACCCUUUAAUGUUUGAUGUUCUAACGUUGGCCCCUAAUCGGGGUUGCGGACAGUGUCUGGUGGGUAGUUUGACUGGGGCGGUCUCCUCCUAAAGAGUAACGGAGGAGCACGAAGGUUGGCUAAUCCUGGUCGGACAUCAGGAGUUAGUGCAAUGGCAUAAGCCAGCUUGACUGCGAGCGUGACGGCGCGAGCAGGUGCGAAAGCAGGUCAUAGUGAUCCGGUGGUUCUGAAUGGAAGGGCCAUCGCUCAACGGAUAAAGGUACUCCGGGGAUAACAGGCUGAUACCGCCCAAGAGUUCAUAUCGACGGCGGUGUUUGGCACCUCGAUGUCGGCUCAUCACAUCCUGGGGCUGAAGUAGGUCCCAAGGGUAUGGCUGUUCGCCAUUUAAAGUGGUACGCGAGCUGGGUUUAGAACGUCGUGAGACAGUUCGGUCCCUAUCUGCCGUGGGCGCUGGAGAACUGAGGGGGGCUGCUCCUAGUACGAGAGGACCGGAGUGGACGCAUCACUGGUGUUCGGGUUGUCAUGCCAAUGGCACUGCCCGGUAGCUAAAUGCGGAAGAGAUAAGUGCUGAAAGCAUCUAAGCACGAAACUUGCCCCGAGAUGAGUUCUCCCUGACUCCUUGAGAGUCCUGAAGGAACGUUGAAGACGACGACGUUGAUAGGCCGGGUGUGUAAGCGCAGCGAUGCGUUGAGCUAACCGGUACUAAUGAACCGUGAGGCUUAACCUU